AAUAGAUACCCAGGUAGUCCACGCCGUAAACGGUGGGCGCUAGGUGUGGGGGACUUUCCACGUCCUCUGUGCCGCAGCUAACGCAUUAAGCGCCCCGCCUGGGGAGUACGGCCGCAAGGCUAAAACUCAAAGGAAUUGACGGGGGCCCGCACAAGCGGCGGAGCAUGUGGCUUAAUUCGACGCAACGCGAAGAACCUUACCAAGGCUUGACAUGCAGGGAAAUCUCGUAGAGAUACGGGGUCCGCAAGGGCUCUGCACAGGUGGUGCAUGGUUGUCGUCAGCUCGUGUCGUGAGAUGUUGGGUUAAGUCCCGCAACGAGCGCAACCCUUGUCCUAUGUUGCCAGCGAGUAAUGUCGGGGACUCAUAGGAGACUGCCGGGGUCAACUCGGAGGAAGGUGGGGAUGACGUCAAAUCAUCAUGCCCCUUAUGUCUUGGGCUGCACACAUGCUACAAUGGUCGGUACAAAGGGCUGCGAGACCGCGAGGUGGAGCGAAUCCCAAAAAGCCGGCCUCAGUUCGGAUUGGGGU
rnacentral:rRNA from 1 species